rnacentral:rRNA from 1 species
UGGUGGAGUGAUUUGUCUGGUUAAUUCCGAUAACGAACGAGACCUUAACCUGCUAAAUAGCCAGGCUAGCUUUGGCUGGUCGCCGGCUUCUUAGAGAGACUAUCAACUCAAGUUGAUGGAAGUUUGAGGCAAUAACA